AUUCUUACCUGGCAGGGGAGAUAGCAUGAUCACAAGGUUUAUCCUCGGUGAGGCUAUCCAAGGCACUCUGACGUGCAGACCCCUGUGAUUUCCCCAAAUGUGGGCAACUUGACUGCAUAAUUUGUGGAAGUGGGGGACUACAUUCAUACUUUCCUCUG